rnacentral:lncRNA from 1 species
UAAGAGUUGGUGAUCUAGUGGUCACUCCCUUUAAACAAUCUAGAAAAUGUUUUGCACGGGCUGCUCUAAACCAUUUUACUGAUGUUGAGAGAAUCUGUAGUAUCGUUUUGUUCUUUGUGUUUUGGAGUUAUACCAAGAUUCUAGAGUAUUUUGGUAUUAUCUAGUUUUGUUGGUUUAUCAUUUCUCCAGAUGUUUAAGGCCAAAUAC